CACCCGCUGUGGAAAUUGACUUAGCUGGGAAGUGGGGAACACUUCCGUGAGGAGUAGAGCACUCCUUAUGCCAGAUUCCCUUCUACCUGGCUGGGUUGAAGUCAGAUCCUGCUCUG
rnacentral:pre_miRNA from 14 species